ensembl:lncRNA
AUAUGUUAGGUACUUACAGUAAUAAGAAAGGAUAAGGGUUAAGGGAUAUGCUUAGAGGUCUUUUUGUUGAUUUCACAGAAUUCUUGUUCUAAGACCAACAAAAGAUAGGAAACACAGUAAGCCACAAUUAAUGUACACAAGGCUUUAGAUAUACUGGUAGAGUUUAAACUGAUUAUUGAGCAAGACCUCUGUUGCAAACAGAGUGGAUGUUUUGGAACUGCUGUAGAUGUGCAUCUGUGACCAGUCAGGGACAUUCACUCAUUACUUUUGUCCUGCUAUCGAUCUUUGCAUGGCAUUGUGCCGGCUGUCCUUUUGCAAGGAUCAGGUCUGAAGGUGUGGCUAUAACCUUCUCUUCCUGUUUCUAAAAAAAUCUUUUGUCUUUUUUCCCCCUCCAGCCCCCCUCUCUACAGACUACACUCAAAGCAACAUGAUGAAGACAACACUGGACCAGAGGAAGACACUAAACAAACUGAAAGUACUAUACUUAAAGACAGUAAUGGUGAUGGCCAACCUUCGGAAAGCGCUGCAUAGAUCUGGUCUGCUGCUCACAUGCACUGAAAAGUGCCUCUGUUUACCUCUCAUCUACCCUAAUACUGAUUCACUUUGGUUUCUCCAUAGCCUACAAUGGGACUAAAGUUCAUCACCACUGGUCUACAUACACAGUGUGUUUUAGAGUAUUUUUCUGCAGCUGCGUGGCACUUGUAUUUAUUUAGAUCUCACAUGUCUUAAUGAACAACCCCUCCAAGAAAAUGAAGUAAUAUAUUGUGAAAAAGAAAUGAGAGUCUUUAUCUAAUGUUUAUUUUGUUUGGUUAGAGUGUCUGCUUCAUGAUUUAUUUUGCCUUGAAUUUGCUUGAGUGAACGGUGUAGCUCAGCUUUACUGUAGUUUGCAGUUAAGGAAAUAGAGUAUUUAUCUUUCUCUCCUUUGUUUCUUUAUGAGCUGGUGAACUUCUGUUAACCAGAGGAAGUUAAUUUGAAAGGCAGCAUUUUAAUUCUAAACCACUUUAUGAUUCAGUUUAUUUUCUUGGGGGUGCUUCAUUUUUGGGCCUUAAAUGACAUUUUUACCCCUUAAUUUAAGAUAAUAAUUUAGUAUUAUAUAUUUUCUGCCAAAAUUAAUUAUUGAUGGGAGUCUAAUAAUUUUGUGGAUAAGUGUGGUGUGUGCAUGUGUAGUGUGUGUGUGUGUGUGUGUGUAUGUGUGUGUCCUCCCCUCUUUUUCUAUGCAUUAAAUAAGAAUUUUAUUAUGUUUAUUAUGUCUGUUCAGUGGUUUAUGCAGUAAGAGCAAAAUUAUAUAUAAAAGCAAUAUAUGAAAGAAAGAGUUUUGCAUUGGUUUUAUUGUAAAUAAAAGAUGCUGC